rnacentral:rRNA from 1 species
UGGGGAAUAUUGCACAAUGGGCGCAAGCCUGAUGCAGCAACGCCGCGUGAACGAUGAAGGUCUUCGGAUCGUAAAGUUCUGUUGCAGGGGAAGAUAAUGACGGUACUCUGUGAGGAAGCCCCGGCUAACUACGUGCCAGCAGCCGCGGUAAUACGUAGGGGGCUAGCGUUAUCCGGAUUUACUGGGCGUAAAGGGUGCGUAGGUGGUCCUUCAAGUCGGUGGUUAAAGGCUACGGCUCAACCGUAGUAAGCCGCCGAAACUGGAGGACUUGAGUGCAGGAGAGGAAAGUGGAAUUCCCAGUGUAGCGGUGAAAUGCGUAGAUAUUGGGAGGAACACCAGUAGCGAAGGCGGCUUUCUGGACUGCAACUGACACUGAGGCACGAAAGCGUGGGUAGCAAACAGG